GCUCAAUGACUCUUCAAUAGCCGCAGGCCUCCCUGUGCUAAGGUAGCACAAUCAUUUGCCUUUUAAUUUAAGGCUUGUAUGAAAGACUUAACAUCUUAAUUACUUUCUCCAAUUUAUAUCUUUAAUUUAUUUCAAAUAUAAAAAAAUAUUUAUUUUUUAGAAAGACGACAAGACCCUAUUGAACUUCACUUUAGUUAAGCUGGGGCAGCUAAUUAAUUAUUAUUUUAAUUUCCUUUCUUUUAUAAAUUGACCCAAUACAAUUGAUUUCAUGAUCAAGUUACCAUAGGGAUAACAGCACAAUAUAAUAUUAAAGCUCUUAUUUAAUAUUAAGCUUGUGACCUCGAUGUUGAAUUAAUAUUCUCUUUGGUGCAACCACUCUAACAGAAAGUCUGUUCGACUUUUAAACAAUUACAUGAUUUGAGUUCAAACCGGUGUGAGCCAGGUUGGUUUCUAUCUUCUUAUUCUUAUUCUCAGUACGAAAGGACCAGAAAAUAUUUUAAAUCUUAUUGGCAGAAUAUUGCAUUAGAUUUAGAAUCUAAUUACUCUACAAAUCACCUUUAUUAACUCCUUA
rnacentral:misc_RNA from 1 species